UACGUAGGGUGCUAACGUUGUUCGGAAUCACUGGGCAUAAAGAGCGCGUAGGCGGUCUGAUAAGUCAGGUGUGAAAUCCCCCGGCUCAACCGGGGAACUGCACCUGAUACUGUUGGGCUUGAGUGCAGGAGGGGAGAGCGGAAUUCCUGGUGGAGCGGUGAAAUGCGUAGAUAUCAGGAGGAACACCUGCGGUGUAGACGGCUUACUGGACCGUAACUGACGCUGAGGCACGAAAGCGUGGGUAGCAAACAGG
rnacentral:rRNA from 1 species